rnacentral:rRNA from 1 species
AACGAACGCUGGCGGCAGGCUUAACACAUGCAAGUCGAACGCCCCGCAAGGGGAGUGGCAGACGGGUGAGUAACGCGUGGGAAUCUACCUAGUUCUACGGAACAACAGAGGGAAACUUCUGCUAAUACCGUAUACGCCCUAAGGGGGAAAGAUUUAUCGGAAUUAGAUGAGCCCGCGUAAGAUUAGCUAGUUGGUGGGGUAAUGGCCUACCAAGGCGACGAUCUUUAGCUGGUCUGAGAGGAUGAUCAGCCACACUGGGACUGAGACACGGCCCAGACUCCUACGGGAGGCAGCAGUGGGGAAUAUUGGACAAUGGGCGCAAGCUUGAUCCAGCCAUGCCGCGUGAGUGAUGAAGGCCCUAGGGUUGUAAAGCUCUUUCAGUGGGGACGAUAAUGACGGUACCCACAGAAGAAGCCCCGGCUAACUUCGUGCCAGCAGCCGCCGUAACAC